AUUGAACGCUGGCGGCAGGCCUAACACAUGCAAGUCGAGCGGAUGAAGGGAGCUUGCUCCUGGAUUCAGCGGCGCACGGGUGUGUAAUGCCUAGGAAUCUGCCUGGUAGUGGGGGAUAACGUCCGGAAACGGGCGCUAAUACCGCAUACGUCCUGAGGGAGAAAGUGGGGGAUCUUCGGACCUCACGCUAUCAGAUGAGCCUAGGUCGGAUUAGCUAGUUGGUGGGGUAAAGGCCUACCAAGGCGACGAUCCGUAACUGGUCUGAGAGGAUGAUCAGUCACACUGGAACUGAGACACGGUCCAGACUCCUACGGGAGGCAGCAGUGGGGAAUAUUGGACAAUGGGCGAAAGCCUGAUCCAGCCAUGCCGCGUGUGUGAAGAAGGUCUUCGGAUUGUAAAGCACUUUUAGUUGGGAGGAAGGGCAGUAAGUUAAUACCUUGCUGUUUUGACGGUACCAACAGAAUAAGCACCGGCUAACUACGUG
rnacentral:rRNA from 1 species